AUGAGACUUAGCGCCUCAUGAAGAUAAAACAUUACACGGUAUUUUUUUUCCAAAGCCUCUUUGUUUUUUAGGUUUCUCUCUAGACUCUUCUUCUUCGUCUCUCUUAAAUUUCUCUUUAGAUCCAUGCUGAAUUGGCUCAUCCGCGUUCAUGGGUUGCUCUUAUUCAGUGUCACCUUUGCUGUCUUUUCACACUCCCUUCCCAUAUCUCAGCGAUCUCGAUGCGAAUAGAUCCAGAUUUUGGUGGUGGAGAAGAGGAAAAAUCCGGAGGAGCUUAGUGACGGGAACAACGAAUGGCUGUGAGGCGACACCAUACAGUAGAUUUAAGAGUGGAGCAACGCCGCAAUUUUAUGAGAGAAGAAAAUGGAAAAGAUAUGUGUAGCAGUCAGGGUGAGGCUGCUGGCGCCAAAAUUAUCACCAGAAAACGGAUCUACUCUCUGAUCUUUCAUCAAAAGACCAGUGGAAACACGUGGUGGAAGAUCUAACGGUGGGAAAGCCAGAGAUGGUGGAGUUUCACGAGACAGAGACGGUGGAAUCGGCGAUUUGAGUGAUCGGAGAGUUGACGGUGUGUGGGAUUCCGGUUUGGAGGAAGAGAUCGACGCCGUCGAUUCCUGGAUUUGUGGAGAAUAGCGAGAUGAGGCAACAUAGAUUCGUUGGGAUUUUGAAUUCUCUUGAUAUCGUUACUUUCUUAGCUAAGAGCGAGUGUUUGCAAGAAGAAAAAGCUAUGAAGAUCCCUGUCCCAACAACACUCUCCUCAAACAAGUUGAUCCUGGGACAAGUUUAGAUCAAGCUCUGGUUGUGUCAUAAAGCUCACGAAUUUGAGUUUUUGUUAAUUGAAUGAUUCUUAAGUUAGUUCGAAUUUGGUUGCAUACAUUUAGGAUCUCAUCUUCACUGAAAAGAGUCACAUCAAUAGCUCAGUUUAUGUGGUAAAGCUCACAAAUUUAAGUCUUUGUAUCUUGAGUAGUUCCCGGUUUAGUUCAGUUUGAUGUGUUCGAGACUACGUUUGAUUUUAGUUGCAUACAGCUUAAGUAGAGUGGCAAGAAAAUUUGAAGUGUGAUUUUUAAUUUCUUCUGUUUUGCUGAGUGCGGCAUGAACCUGUUAGACAAAAUUAUAGAGUAUUAUCGACAAGGUUUGCUUUCCUUCUUUCCUUUAUCGGUUUGAUACUAUUCUAGUUCCACUGUAUUAUUUUGCAACUCAUAAGUAAUUGAGAGUGUCUGAGUUUCUGUGCCAGACAUUUGAGGAAGGAAGCUGACACAAUACCUGGAGCUGAUUAUAGAAAUGGAUUCCUACUUCUUGCAUCUCAACUCUCUUCUGCUUCAUUUUGGCUUUACGGCCUGUUAGAUGGAUUUGUUGAAGAUUGGUGUAAGUUCGAAUCUUUGAUAGUGUAGUGUUGGUUCAGAGGAAUGGUCAUGCAUUGCUUCAUGAUGCCUUGGCUGGAGCUCCUUUGAAUGUAGCUGGAACUGCAUCUGGCUCAAAUUCUGCCACCAGCAAUUCUAUAUCAUCCAUGUUUCCUGCAGGAAAUGCUCCUCCCCUUUCACCAAGGAGUUGUGGUUCACUCCGUAUGACGAAACAGUGAGCUGGGCCUUCUAACUUAUGCUCUUCCCUAAAAAUAACCAACGAGCCUGUUAAAGAGCCAAUGGCUCAGGUUUUUAAAUGCUUCUGCAGAUUUUCAUAAAGUGCAUUCUUUUUUCCUCUUUUAUAUGCUGAUGGAGUAAGCGUUGAAAUGAUUGCAAUUUUAUUUUCAAAAUGGUCGCCCACCACCAAGCGAGAUGAAACACAAAUGUAUGUUUCGAAUCAACCACUUUUUCUAUGGUCACUUGGACGGACUGCAGAUACAAGAGUUGGGUAUGCAGCAACAUCGUUUCGAGAAUGAGGAAUAUAUAGAAGUAAUUAAGGAAUUUAUGGAGGCAGUUUGUACUCGGUAGCCACAUGUUAUUGUGAAGGUAACCAAUGAGGCUUCAUAUAUCUAUGGUAUACUCCGUGGCCACAUGUUACUCGGAAGCUAAGCUGUCACUAUUGUCACUAGCUAUUCCUUUACCUUUUGUUGUUUAGUAAUGUUGGUCCUUGUAAUAUUUGUGUAAAACAUGUUUUCGCUUAAUGAAAUAAUCUUUUGAAACAAA